ensembl:lncRNA
GUGGAAUUUCAGCAUUGUUUUCAUCUGCAUCUCUUGAAUGGCCAGUGAUGUUGAACAUUUUUUCAUAUGUUUAUUUGCUACUUUUACUUCUUUGAGAAAUGUCUGUUCAUUUCAGAUGCCCAUUUUUGAAUUUGGUUUUAUAUUUGAGGGGUCUGAUUUUUUAAGUUCUUUAUAUAUUCUAGAUAGUAGACCUUUGUCUGAGGAACAGCUGGUAAAAUUUUUUUCCCACAUUGUAGGUUGUCUCUUAGCUCUUUUGAUGGUUUCUCUUGCAGUGCAGAAGCUUUUUAAUAAGAUGAGAUCCCAGUUGUUGAUUCUUUGUGCUAGUUCCCGUACUACUGAGGAUUUGUUCAUAAAGUCCUUUCCUAUGCCAAGGUCUUCAAGAGUUCUACCUAACUUGCCUUCCAGCAAGUUUAGUGUUUCUGUUUUAAUAUUUAGAUCUUUAAUCUAUUUCAAUUUUAGUUUAGUGCAUGGUGACAGAUAGGGGUCUAGUUUUAAUUUGGGGCAAGUUGAAAUUCAGUUUUUCCAACACCAUUUAUUAAAGAGGCUAUCUUUCCUCCUGUGAGGAUGGUUGGCUCCUUUGUCAAAGAUCAGGUGGCUGAGUAUGUCUCGAGUUGUUUCUCUAUCUUCUAAUCUAUUCCACUGAUUCUCAGGUCUGUUUCUUUGCCAGUACCAUGCUAGUUUUUAUCACAGUGGCUUUGUAGUACAGUUUCAGGUUGGGGAUUGUGAUACCCCCUGCCAUGUCUCUGUUGCCUAGAAUUGCUUUUGCUAUUCUAGGUCUCCUCUGGUUCCAGAUGAACUUUUGGAUUGUUUUCUCUAGUUCUGUGAAAUAUGCUGUUGGGAUUUCAAUCGGGAUUGCAUUGAAUUUCUAUGGCAGUUUUGGAAGUAUGGCCAUUUUCGCUAUAUUGGUUCUUCCUACCCAGGAGCAAGGGAUGUCUUUCCAUUUUCUUGUAUCCUCUUUGAUGUCUUUUUUCAGAGUGCUGUAGUUCUCAGUGUAGAGGUCUUUUGCUUCCUUUGCUAUAUUGAUUCCUACAUAUGUCAUUUUUUUGGAUGCUAUUGUGAAAGGGAUUUUUUCCCUAAUUUCUCUCUCAGUGAGCCUGUUAUUUGUGUUAAACUUGCUGGAAGGCUAUUGUUUCUUGAGUGUUGACCUUGUAUCCAGCUACUCUACUGAAUCUGUCAAGUCUAGAAGUCUUUUGGCAGAGUUUUUUGGGUCUUCUAUGUAGAGUAUCACAUCUCUACUUGGUUAUUUGCUUGUUUCAAUUUGUUACUGAAUUGUAGGAGUUCUUUAUCCCACUAUUAAUUUCUUAACCAGUUACAUGAUUUGCAAAUAUUUUCCUCCACUCUGUAGAUUGCCUUUCCACUCUUUCAUUGGUUCUGUUGAUGUGUGGACAUUUUAAAGUUUUGUGUAUUCUCAUUUGUCUAUUUUUGCUUUUGUUACUUGUGUUGUUUGGGUUAUAUCCAAGUAACCAUUGCCAGAUCCAAUGACAUCAAUGCUUUUCCCUGUUUUCUUCUAGGAGUUUUAUAAGUUUGGAGUCUUAUAUUUGGGGCUUCAGUCUGUUUCAAGUUAGUUUUACAUGUGGUACAACGGAAGGGCCCUUUUGAGUGGAGACAGUCUCCUGGCACCUGUGGCACUGUCUCCCCAUGGAGCCACAUGCCUGUUCUGGAUGAGGUAUCUGGUCAUCAGAGCCCUUGGCCUCAUGCAGACCCUGGUCUGCACUUUUGUGCAGUGCAGGACAUAGUGCCAAGGCACAGAUGCACAUUUUCCAUUCAGCUGGACAGGGAAACUUGGGAUGAGACAAGAACAUGGCUGCAGUGCUGAAGAGUUUGGAUUGUUUCACAAGCAAGAGAGUCAGAAAGUUGUUUCACAUGAGAUGAAGACAUGCUCAGAGAGCCUUCAGCUGGAUAGAGACUGGCAGUCCUUCCAAGAGUGCUCCCUCUGCCCUGAACAAUGGCUGCCUUGAUUACUUGAUCAGCUAUCCCUAACCAGGGACAAGUCUGCUCCAUGUGAAUUAAGGGGGUUGGCACAUGUCCCAAACUUUCAUUUCUCCAAUAAGGCGAGACCAUAGCUCCUCACUCAAGCCCUUCUGGUGUUGCCACUUGGGAAGCUGGAGGGACUCAUCAUCUUCAUUGUGUGUUGCUAAUACCCUCUGGGCUGGGAGUGUAUGACCAAUGUGGAAAGAAUGCCAGCCAAACUGCUAAUUGUGAACACAUCUCGCCAUUGCCUGUUUAGUGGUCCAUGGAUCCAAAUGGAAUGGGGAGUAAAUCCAGGGCAAUGCCAAUAUAAGAGAUGCUGAAUCUCAGGAGAGUAUCCUGGCUUAAUGAAGUCCUGAGACUUUAAUUAACCUGAGUUAAUCAGGAAGGAAAAGAAACACAUGGUCCUUGUGGACACACUGUUCUCUGGUCUGGACAAGCCCAAGCAGCAAGAGCUGGCCCUGGGGCUCUUCUGCAUUCUCCACUCUCAGCAAUAGCGCAGAGCUCCUGGGCCUGAGCCCCUGGGACUUCCAUUGACAGGAGCCUGGCUUGUCUGCACCCAUGGCUUUUCUCUUUCCUCAGGGUGAAUUUAAUCAUGUUGAAGUCUCAGAUAAGGGAUAGUUCUUCUGGCAGACUGGCCUCAACUCCCAUAUCAGGCUACCUGCCUGUCGUCAUUGCUUUUCCUAGGAAAUUAUACCUACACCAUCACCCUUCAGCACUGGAGAAAUGAUCUGUGUAUGUGUUCAUAUCACCCACCACAGGGAACUGCCCGGUCCCUGGGUUAUGUAGGUUUUCCUUCUUUGAAAUUAAAAAAUCUCUAUAUCCUGUCCGCAACUCUUCAAAUUUCCUUAGCUAUUAAUGCUCAAGAAUCUCCAGUGCAGUGUUGUGAAAGUUACCUUGAAACCAGGAUUUUCUCUAUUCUAGCCAGGGGAUUGGAUGGCAUUUUUGAAAAGCCCUGGUGGGCUUAUUCCAGUCUGACUUCAGAUUUGUGCUCAAACAGUUGGUGCACGUAGGCAAGGAGCAGCUUGCUCUGCCGUCAGUCAGCAGAAGGGGGAAGUGAUGCGGCUGAAACUACCUGGGCUUCGGCUUCUGUGGGAGUAAUAAUGGGAGCCCAGGCUCUUUCCUCGAAUGGGAAGGGAAGCAAGUGGGGGGGGGGGGGCGUUAUAACCAUACCUCGAGGAUAUGUGACAAAACUGUAGGAUGGGAGGGGGAAUAUUUAAAUCACAACAAAAACGCCCAAACAGGUCAAGUCUACAUAACAUGCCCCCCCAAAACCCCAAAACAAAACCCCCCCGAAAAAUGAAGGAAUUGAACCCAUGGGGUUAGCACUGUGGCUCAGGAGUGACCUCAUUCCUGUGUUCAGCGAUGAGCAGUAGAAGCGGGAAUGCUGCUUUCCUAAUUGUUCACUUCCGAGGCAGUGAUUUCAGUCAUCUGCAGAGUCCUUUGUGUCUCAAUGAGAUUGCAGUUUAUAUUAGAGACCGAAAAGUUUCCCCUUCAAAGAAAUUCAUACCUAAGAAAAGAGCUGCUUUCAAUUCCCCUUACCCCCCUCUCUCGCUGCUCUUAAUGUCUUUUAUUUUUCUUGUAUCUUUUGAAGAUCUCACCUUUUUUCAGAACAGUAGGGAACGAGGUUGCACCAGCAGCUCCAUCCUGCACAUGUCUGGGGGAAGAUUUCCAAUUAGAUGAUAAAGAAGGGAUUUCUCUCAAAUGACGGUGGUCUCCAUGGAGAGAAAUGACAGGGCUUUCUUUGCCUAACUGCUGAGUUUAGUUGGUUAAGAAUCCUGUUCGCCAGAAUCCUGCUGACGAGGAUGUGUCCAGCAACAGUGGAGGAUUGGAGGAGUGGAGGAGUUACACCUGGUGAUUUUCGUUCCUACGCUUUCUCUUUUGUUAUCAAAAAACAAGUCAGUCUGUUACAGCUUUCUUCGUUUGUGCUGAGGUGAUGAGGGUGCUCAUACAAUUCUGUUUGUGGGAUGCUGUUAGACUUUCAGAGCAAGUGAGACAUCGAGUCUUCUUCUGGUGGAUUCCUCCUGCUCCCCCGCUGUGAAGAUGGCUCUUCCACACCGCUUGUGGGCAUGGGUCCCAGCACUUUGCCUGGUUAACGAGGCAGUAGGAGCGGUGAUAGGCCUUGCCCCAACUGUUUUACCACUUCCCUGUCACACACUGAAGCAGAUGGUCAGCCUGGUUCUUUAAGGUUCUUUGUUUCAAUCUGCUGGUUAGGGGACUUGAAAACUUUCCCUUGUUUAGUUUGGGAAAGAAUGAUUGUAUUAGAAAUACAAUUGAUGUGCAAAAAUUCAGCUUUAUUCCAGAACUAGAAAUGGUCACAUCUGAUGGCUGAUACCUGAGCAGAUUCUGAUGGGGAAAAUCAUAUGUCUUUGUAUUUAUUUACUCAGUCACUGUCAAAAACACCCAUGGUGGGGCCAGGGAUGUGGCAUCGCACCUGACUCGCAAGCACCACGUCCUGAGUUUGAUCCCUGGUACCAGAAAACAAAACAAAAACAAACAUGGUUUCUACUCCUCCCCCCACACUCUCUGUCACCCACUUUGGCACAUACAUUACUUCCUUGCAAAGAUAAUUUACAUUAAUCCACCCUAAGAAGAAUGUGUUAUAGCUUUGCUACUUAUCCAUUUUGUAGAUAAAAACACUUCUUCCAUACAAAUCCCCAACAACAACAUUUGAGUUUAAAUAUAAUCAUCUUUUUCUUUUCUCUGAGGAUUAGGAGAUGAUUUAUGAAUAUCCCUUCUAAUUUAGAGCCUUUUGUUUUAUUUUUAGGUGAGGUAUAUUACUUCUUUGCAUUUUCUAUUUUGCUUUUAAAAUGACUGUCUAAAUAAUUUUCUGUGCUUCCAGUUCAGUUAUAUAACACAACCAAUUAAGCUGUGAUGGAUAUACUGAUGAAUUAUUAAAUUCUUCAGGUUCAUUUGCAGUCCAUUUAAUGCUCAUACUGGCAGUGAUUAGCACAGUAAUAUUUCACAUCUAACAAUUUGCCACCUCAAUUUUCUUCUGUUGAAAUGUAAAUAUCGAUUCCUAUAAUGGCAGAAG